CAAGAAGUAGUUUAAUUAGAACGUCAGCUUUGGGUGUUGAUAGUAGAGGGAUAUCCUUUCUUCUUGA
rnacentral:tRNA from 1 species